AGUGAACGCUGGCGGCGUGCCUAAUACAUGCAAGUCGAACGGAGUGGCGCACGGGUGAGUCAUGUAUAGCUAAUCUGCCCUACACUAGAGGACAACAAUUGGAAACGACUGCUAAUACUCUAUAGUGUAGGAUGAGGCUAUAUUGUAUCAGCUAGUUGGUGAGGUAAUGUCUCACCAAGGCUAUGACGCAUAACUGGUCUGAGAGGAUGAGCACUCACACUGGAACUGAGACACCGGCCAGACUCCUACGGGAGGCAGCAGUAGGGAAUAUUGCUCAAGCGGGGAGACCCUGAAGGAGCAACGCCGCGUGGAGGAUGACACUUUGCGGAGCGUAAACUCCUUUUGUUAGGGAAGCGGUACCUAACGAAUAAGCACCGGCUAACUCCGUGCCAGCAGCCGCGGUAAUUC
rnacentral:rRNA from 1 species